GAUGAACGCUGGCGGCGUGCUUAACACAUGCAAGUCGAGCGGAAAGGCCAGGCUGUUGCUGGGUGCUCGAGUGGCGAGCGGGUGAGUAACACGCGAGUAACCUGUCCCUGACUAUGGGCUAACAUCAGGAAACUGUGGCUCAUAACGGAUAGUAGCUCCUGCUGCAUGGUGGUGGUUGGUAAGUUUCGGUGGUUGGGAAUCGUCUGGCGGCUUAUCAGCUUGUUGAUGGAGUAGUGGAUUACCACGGCUUUGACGGGUAGUCGGCCUGAGAGGGUGACCGGCCACCUGGGCACUGAGAUACGGCACAGACUCCUACGGGAGGCAGCAGUGGGGAAGAUUGCACGAUGGACGGAAGCCGGGUGCAGCAAGGCCGCGUGCGGGAUGACAGCCUUCGGGUAGAAAACCACAUUCGCCUGUGACGAUGCGUGAGUGACGGUAAUGGAUAAAGAAGGACCGGCUAACUACGUG
rnacentral:rRNA from 1 species